GAUACCCUAGUAUUAAUAAAAAGAAAUAAUUAUUAUAUAAUGAAAUUUGAAAUUUUUGGCGGUUUAUUAUUAAUUAGAGGAGCUUGUUUUAUAGAAAUUACUCUUUAAAUUUUACAGAUUUUUGUUUAUUUAUCUCCGUUAUUAGAUGAAAGUUUUAUAAGUUUUAAACUAAUACUUCAGGUCAAGAUGUAGCAAUAAUUUGGAAGAAUUAGCUACAUUAGUAUAACUUAAUGGAAUUAAAUAAUAAAAUGAUUUAGUGAAAUUGAAUUUGACUGUAAUUUGAUUUAGAAUGAUUAGGUGAAAUUGUGUAAUUUAUGUACAUAUUGCCCGUCACUCCUUUUGGUGAAAGAGGAUAAGUCGUAACAAAGUA
rnacentral:rRNA from 1 species